rnacentral:rRNA from 1 species
UACGUAGGGUGCGAGCGUUAAUCGGAAUUACUGGGCGUAAAGCGUGCGCAGGCGGUUUUGUAAGCCAGAUGUGAAAUCCCCGGGCUUAACCUGGGAAUGGCAUUUGGGACUGCAAGGCUUGAGUGCGGCAGAGGAGACUGGAAUUCCUGGUGUAGCAGUGAAAUGCGUAGAUAUCAGGAGGAACACCGAUGGCGAAGGCAGGUCUCUGGGCAUUAACUGACGCUGAGGAGCGAAAGCAUGGGGAGCGAACAGG